rnacentral:rRNA from 1 species
UACGAAGGGGGCUAGCGUUGCUCGGAAUCACUGGGCGUAAAGCGUGCGCAGGCGGUUAUGCAAGACAGAGGUGAAAUCCCCGGGCUCAACCUGGGAACUGCCUUUGUGACUGCAUGGCUAGAGUACGGUAGAGGGGGAUGGAAUUCCGCGUGUAGCAGUGAAAUGCGUAGAUAUGCGGAGGAACACCGAUGGCGAAGGCAAUCCCCUGGACCUGUACUGACGCUCAUGCACGAAAGCGUGGGGAGCAAACAGG